UACAUUGACUGUCCUUCCAGGAAAGUAUGUGUUAGGUUGGGGGGGGGGGGGGGGGGGUGUUGAUCUCACCCCUACUUGUAUUUAAUGAGUUUUGCAGAGAUGCAGAGAUAAUGGCUCCAGCAGGCAUCCUUCUUCGAAACCGUGUGUGGAAAAUGUUUGUGUUCUGGCCAAAGGAAAGAAAAAAAAAAAGCUUUUUCCAGUACUCUUCUCAACGGGAGCUGGGAGUGAGCCAGUGAUGCCAAGUUAAUCAGGAUGCCAAGAAACCAGCUUUCAUGAAAAAAAAGAACACGUUGGGAUCAGGAGCAUUAGAGGAUGCAGAAAGCCCCAUCCUGUAGAUUUCGAAGAAAUAAAAAUCGAAGUGUAUCCAAUCGAUAAGACAGAAGCGCCUAGGCUGUAAUGAGACGUCUGGAAACCUUGACGUAAUUGUGAAUGAGAAAAAAAAGAUGCUGCUGUCAAAGAAGUAAACUCUCUCAAGAACAGGGCAUCUACAGUAUAUCAGAUUGUCCUGUGGAAGGACUGUCAUGACCAUAGGGGCCACUAGAGGCCGCUAAAAACAUUGCAACAAA